rnacentral:rRNA from 1 species
GCUUAACACAUGCAAGUCGAGGGGCAGCAUGGUCUUAGCUUGCUAAGGCCGAUGGCGACCGGCGCACGGGUGAGUAACACGUAUCCAACCUGCCGUCUACUCUUGGACAGCCUUCUGAAAGGAAGAUUAAUACAAGAUGGCAUCAUGAGUCCGCAUGUUCACAUGAUUAAAGGUAUUCCGGUAGACGAUGGGGAUGCGUUCCAUUAGAUAGUAGGCGGGGUAACGGCCCACCUAGUCUUCGAUGGAUAGGGGUUCUGAGAGGAAGGUCCCCCACAUUGGAACUGAGACACGGUCCAAACUCCUACGGGAGGCAGCAGUGAGGAAUAUUGGUCAAUGGGCGAGAGCCUGAACCAGCCAAGUAGCGUGAAGGAUGACUGCCCUAUGGGUUGUAAACUUCUUUUAUAAAGGAAUAAAGUCGGGUAUGGAUACCCGUUUGCAUGUACUUUAUGAAUAAGGAUCGGCUAACUCCGUGCCAGCAGCCGCGGUAAUACGGAGGAUCCGAGCGUUAUCCGGAUUUAUUGGGUUUAAAGGGAGCGUAGAUGGAUGUUUAAGUCAGUUGUGAAAGUUUGCGGCUCAACCGUAAAAUUGCAGUUGAUACUGGAUAUCUUGAGUGCAGUUGAGGCAGGCGGAAUUCGUGGUGUAGCGGUGAAAUGCUUAGAUAUCACGAAGAACUCCGAUUGCGAAGGCAGCCUGCUAAGCUGCAACUGACAUUGAGGCUCGAAAGCGUGGGUAUCAAACAGGAUUAGAUACCCUGGUAGUCCACACGGUAAACGAUGAAUACUCGCUGUUUGCGAUAUACUGCAAGCGGCCAAGCGAAAGCGUUAAGUAUUCCACCUGGGGAGUACGCCGGCAACGGUGAAACUCAAAGGAAUUGACGGGGGCCCGCACAAGCGGAGGAACAUGUGGUUUAAUUCGAUGAUACGCGAGGAACCUUACCCGGGCUUAAAUUGCAGAUGAAUUACGGUGAAAGCCGUAAGCCGCAAGGCAUCUGUGAAGGUGCUGCAUGGUUGUCGUCAGCUCGUGCCGUGAGGUGUCGGCUUAAGUGCCAUAACGAGCGCAACCCUUGUUGUCAGUUACUAACAGGUUCCGCUGAGGACUCUGACAAGACUGCCAUCGUAAGAUGUGAGGAAGGUGGGGAUGACGUCAAAUCAGCACGGCCCUUACGUCCGGGGCUACACACGUGUUACAAUGGGGGGUACAGAGGGCCGCUACCACGCGAGUGGAUGCCAAUCCCCAAAACCUCUCUCAGUUCGGACUGGAGUCUGCAACCCGACUCCACGAAGCUGGAUUCGCUAGUAAUCGCGCAUCAGCCACGGCGCGGUGAAUACGUUCCCGGGCCUUGUACACACCGCCCGUCAAGCCAUGGGAGCCGGGGGUACCUGAAGUGCGUAACCGCGAGGAGCGCCCUAGGGUAAAACUGGUGACUGGGGCUAAGUCAUA